GAAAACGAAAUAGAUGCAUUUGCGUUUGACCUGAUCUAACCUCGUAUAAAGAAUGCCGUGUCGCAUCGCAUAAGUGACAUUGCCUCUGACAUCUGGCCCAUAGUGCCAAAAGGAUUAAUCGUCUCGAGGUUCCUCGAGGAUAAAGAUCGUGCCUCGCGAUUUUGGAAACUGGGUGCAGGUCAGCGGAUAUUCAAGAGAAGCACGGCAAAGAGAUCUGACAACGA
rnacentral:lncRNA from 1 species